rnacentral:lncRNA from 1 species
UCCUUUAACUUUGUUAUAUUCAAAUCAUACUUUCAUUAUUUCUUGCAGUAUAAGUUCAAAAUUAUGGCGUGAGACAUGGGGAUGCAAUUAAACUCAAUGGAGAAGGAAACCUGGAAAGGGAUGAACAGAGUAAUUAGUCUGUGUGAUGCCAUUAACCUUGACAACAAUGAACUUAUGGGACUUGGAAUGAUACUAGAUGAAGAGGUCAGUUUAUUGGUAAAUUUUAUGAUCUGCAAAUAGUAGAUGAUACUAUGAGUUAUAUAGUAGCUAUUAUAAAUCUAGAGGUAUCUUCUCAGUGCAUUAUAUAACACUAUAUUGGCUUAGCUGCGUGUGUAACUGUAUGAUGUUAUUAAUUCGUGCAAGUAUCAUUCAAUCCAAAAUUGGCUUGACCGCCGUUGCAGUUGGCCACCGUCGUGAUGGUGGGUUCAUAACGCUGCUACUUCUUGGGUGGAACGUCGUCGCUUCACGGCUGGUCGAAAUACAGCGCCAAUGCAAAGGCAGGUUUAGCCAGCCCUGAAGUUCUGCAUCUAUGCAUACAUGUGAUGGCUUUCUAGGGCGUCACGUACAUAUAUGGUUUCUAGAUCAGAGUCUAUUGUUUUGAUUUUUUGUUUUUCCUUUUUAUGUUUUCCCAUUGUACUGAUUUUGAGUUUAUUUGAUACGAAUUAUAUGGUUAAUUUAGGUGAACAGAAUAUUUUGUUUGGUUUUCAGGCAAGUCAAUUCAGUUCGUUUUGAGUAAGUCUUCAACACUGACUGUUUCGCAUUUUCUACUUAUAUGUGGAUUGUGUUUCUCACAUUCGGUGCUAUGUUUGAAUCUUUCAUAAUUUUGUGUUUCUUUAAGAGUUCCAACAGAUUCAUUUUUUGUUUCACGUUCUAACCGUCAAUGUGCACUUGAUUUUUGCUCUCCAGGGUUAUAAUUUGAAUUAUGUUGUUCUCCAUGUUUCCAGUUAUUUCUUUGAAGGGAGGUCAAUCGAUUGGUGAGGUCAUCAACGGCUGUCUAUGGUUGUCUCUAGGUAUCAAAAAUUAUUUCUCGGGCUAUUGUGGACACAGGUUAUUGUCUGCAACUACUCAUGUUACAGGCAAUGCUGCCAGAAAAUGUUCUAAUGUCAUGGACACUGUUCACAUGCAGCUGUAGAAUUUAUGUCUAAGGACCUUAUCCACACAAGGAUACUAUUGAACCUUCUUUGACAGUUGGAGACUGAGAUCGAGCAGAAGUAUGGCAACCAUGUCGUGUGGAAAAGGGCCCAUGAACUAGCAUGUCAUCAUGUCACCGUGUCAGACAAUACAUUGCGUAAUGCAUGAGAGGCUCAUAUUAAGCUUGGCCAUCUUCUCUUGAUUUUUUUUCAAUCAGAUUGUCGUACUAGGGAAUUUGCACUGCUUACAAGUAAGGAUCGGCCUUCACCUCACUCUAUGCAUUGUAACAUUGUUAUUUAAUUUAGGUUAAAGUUAUGAUAAAUGCAUGCCUGAUUUAGAGAUGAGAUGACUACUUUAAGUUCGGUUCAAG